GAUUGCAGGGUGACUAGCGACAUCAGCACUGGAGAUCUCUGAUACACAGCCCGCCUGGCAAGGCAGGAUUGCAGACGUCUGACCUCUGCUUCGCAGAUAAGAAGGCUUCUGUCUCCGGAUCCAUUGUCCUGCUUCAUCUGGAUUCCCAACAGCUAAGCUCACAGGAGGGAGUAACUGACGGCUCAUAUUCUAGUAAACGUGACUGAUGGAUAGAAGGUGCUGGAGUCCUGAUCCAGUUUGGUCCAUUCACUCACACGCCAGCAGAAUCGAGCACCAACACUGUAUCCUGGAAGCAGUUCUUUAAAGUCGAUCUUUUUUGCAAGUGCUUCAAGGUCAAACCUUUCAAGAACUGAACACAUCUCCAAGCAUCUCCCCAGAUACACCUGUUUUCCCAGGGCCCGCUGCUCUUUCCCAACGCACACUGUGUGGCAUUGCCUCUACCAGUGUGGCAAGCGGUGUUCCACCAACCAUUUUAUUUCCUAAAAGCAGAAAGCAAAAAGAUGCUUUUGUGGUUUGGAAGUCCUCCAACUGUGUUUACAUCACCACUUCCUACAGUAUAUAAACAAACAAGCCAUCGCUGCAAGGCUU